UUGUUGGUGGGGUGAUGGCCUACCAAGGGCGACGACGGGUAGCCGGCCUGAGAGGGCGACCGGCCACACUGGGACUGAGACACGGCCCAGACUCCUACGGGAGGCAGCAGUGGGGAAUAUUGCACAAUGGGCGAAAGCCUGAUGCAGCGACGCCGCGUGAGGGAUGACGGCCUUCGGGUUGUAAACCUCUUUCAGCAGGGAAGAAGCGAGAGUGACGGUACCUGCAGAAGAAGCGCCGGCUAACUACGUGCCAGCAGCCGCGGUAAUACGUAGGGCGCAAGCGUUGUCCGGAAUUAUUGGGCGUAAAGAGCUCGUAGGCGGCUUGUCGCGUCGGAUGUGAAAGCCCGGGGCUUAACCCCGGGUCUGCAUUCGAUACGGGCAGGCUAGAGUUCGGUAGGGGAGGUUCGGAAUUCCUGGUGUAGCGGUGAAAUGCGCAGAUAUCAGGAGGAACACCGGUGGCGAAGGCGGAUCUCUGGGCCGACACUGACGCUGAGGAGCGAAAGCGUGGGGAGCGAACAGGAUUAGAUACCCUGGUAGUCCACGCCGUAAACGUUGGGAACUAGG
rnacentral:rRNA from 1 species